rnacentral:rRNA from 1 species
UUCGCCGAUCGCCUUGAGUUGAUCAUGGCUCAGGACGAACGCUGGCGGCGUGCUUAACACAUGCAAGUCGAGCGGUAAGGCUCCUUCGGGAGUACACGAGCGGCGAACGGGUGAGUAACACGUGAGCAAUCUGCCCUUCACUUCGGGAUAACUCCGGGAAACCGGUGCUAAUACCGAAUACGACCACUUCAGGCAUCUGAUGGUGGUGGAAAGUUCCGGCGGUGAAGGAUGAGCUCGCGGCCUAUCAGCUUGUUGGUGGGGUAACGGCCCACCAAGGCAACGACGGGUAGCCGGCCUGAGAGGGUGACCGGCCACACUGGGACUGAGACACGGCCCAGACUCCUACGGGAGGCAGCAGUGGGGAAUAUUGGACAAUGGGCGAAAGCCUGAUCCAGCAACGCCGCGUGAGGGAUGACUGCCUUCGGGUUGUAAACCUCUUUCAGCAGGGACGAAGCGCAAGUGACGGUACCUGCAGAAGAAGCACCGGCCAACUACGUGCCAGCAGCCGCGGUAAUACGUAGGGUGCGAGCGUUGUCCGGAAUUAUUGGGCGUAAAGGGCUCGUAGGCGGUCUGUCGCGUCGGGAGUGAAAACUCAGGGCUUAACCCUGAGCCUGCUUCCGAUACGGGCAGACUAGAGGUAUGCAGGGGAGAACGGAAUUCCUGGUGUAGCGGUGGAAUGCGCAGAUAUCAGGAGGAACACCGGUGGCGAAGGCGGCUCUCUGGGCAUUACCUGACGCUGAGGAGCGAAAGUGUGGGGAGCGAAC